rnacentral:tRNA from 1 species
AUGGCUGAGAGGUAAAAGUGCUUGGUUUCCGAACAAGGAGUCCCGGGUUCGAAUCCUGGU